AUUUUCAAUUGUGAAAAAUAUGAAUGAUUUAUUGUAAUUGACAAAGUUUAUUUUGGUGUAGAAAUGAAAGUGACUCUAGUCAGCAACAUUGAAACACAAAGUUUAGAGAGAAAAACACUGUAUUGUUGGUAGUGAUAAUGCCUUUCUCAGUGUAGUCCACACCCUAAUACAUAAGUCUUGGACAAAUAAAUAUACAAUGAUCAUAUAGUCAAAAACAAAGAGGGUCAUCAGUCAAACAUUGGUUAAAGGGAAAAAAAGAUUGCUAAAAAAUCAAUAUAAAAUAGUCUGGUUGUCAUUUAUACACUACAGGAUGGCUGAUUUUAUUUCACAAGGAUUCAAGUUUUCAAAUGUUCUCCCUUACAUCAAAACUAACUGAAAAUUAAACUAGAUAAAAAAUAAUUUAUUCAUACUUGUAGAACAUACAUCUAAUUUCAUGAAGACUAUGUCUACACAUAGAUCUAUCUAAACUGGACAGUGUAAAUGACAAUAAAAUUUAUUUAUCAAACAACAACGUAAUGGCUACACAAUGUCCAAGAGUUAAAAAAAAACAACACUGCAGAUUUGGCAGCUCAUAUGUCUAAAAUUUUAAUUUAAAAUAUUUUAAUUUUAUUUAAAAUGAAACUUUGGUAUUCUGUCUUCAUAUAAACAUUUGGUGAACCUAAAUCCAUAUGUAAGGCAUUUUGUUGUCUGCCUGUGGACCAUGGUCUGGAAUCUACAAUGUAUUUUUUUUUCUACACAAAUUCUGAUCUUUAACUAUGGAUUAUUUGCUGAACAAAAUUACAGAUCUUCAAGUUAUGUUUUAAAUCACAUUAUAAGACAAUAGUUAACCUCUUAAUUGCAGAAAUUAAAAUUACAAAAAAAGAGCUGCUACAAGAAUGAUGUUUACAAAGUAGACUAAAGAAAUUCACUGAAAUCUCACAAAUUUUAAUUACUUGAUCAGAGAGAAAAUUCAGUCCUGUAUGUAAUGUAUUACAAUAUAUCCAUCAAGACAAAGGGCUCCUACGUAAUGUAUAUAUCCAUCAAGACAAAGGGCUCCUACGUAAUGUAUAUAUCCAUCAAGACAAAGGGC